rnacentral:other from 1 species
CUUCACUGCCGCACAGGCAGCUCAGCAA